rnacentral:rRNA from 1 species
GAUGAACGCUGGCGGCGUGCCUAAUACAUGCAAGUCGAGCGAACAGAUGAGGAGCUUGCUCCUCUGACGUUAGCGGCGGACGGGUGAGUAACACGUGGAUAACCUACCUAUAAGACUGGGAUAACUUCGGGAAACCGGAGCUAAUACCGGAUAAUAUAUUGAACCGCAUGGUUCAAUAGUGAAUGACGGUUUUGCUGUCACUUAUAGAUGGAUCCGCGCCGCAUUAGCUAGUUGGUAAAGUAACGGCUUACCAAGGCAACGAUGCGUAGCCGACCUGAGAUGGUGAUCGGCCACACUGGAACUGAGACACGGUCCAGACUCCUACGGGAGGCAGCAGUAGGGAAUCUUCCGCAAUGGGCGAAAGCCUGACGGAGCAACGCCGCGUGAGUGAUGAAGGUCUUCGGAUCGUAAAACUCUGUUAUUAGGGAAGAACAAAUGUGUAAGUAACUAUGCACGUCUUGACGGUACCUAAUCAGAAAGCAACGGCUAACUACGUG